rnacentral:rRNA from 1 species
UACAGAGGGUGCGAGCGUUGUCCGGAAUUACUGGGCGUAAAGGGCUCGUAGGCGGCCAACUAAGUCGGACGUGAAAUCCCUCGGCUUAACCGGGGAACUGCGUCCGAUACUGGAUGGCUUGAGUUCGGGAGAGGGAUGCGGAAUUCCAGGUGUAGCGGUGAAAUGCGUAGAUAUCUGGAGGAACACCGGUGGCGAAGGCGGCAUCCUGGACCGACACUGACGCUGAGGAGCGAAAAGCCAGGGGAGCAAACGGGG